UUGAUUUACAUGAUUAUACAUGUUUUGUGAAUUGAGACGUAAGAAUAUGGUAAAUAUGAAUUAUUACUAUUUUGUUUUCUUAUUUUUUCUCAAUGCUCUUGAUCAUCGUUCUUUAUUUGACCAUUUUAACUUUUUUUGAUUCGAGCAUCACUGAUGAGUCUUUUGUAGAUCAAACACACGUCUGGCACAAAUAUAAAAUUUAAAUCCUCUCAUGGGUAAAUUUAUCGAAACAAUUAAUACGUAAUAGGAUGACUCUUACCUAUAAUCAUAAUGUUUAUAAAAGUUUAAGAAAAAUAAAUGAUUAGCUAUACUCAUUUUGAAUGCAUUUAUUUAUGGUUUCGAAUUUGCUUGCCGACCCAAAAGGUAUAAAAAUAAUAAAAAUAUCCAUUUGUAUUGUAGUAAAAUGCAUUGCUUACUAACACAUAACAACAACACGAAGUAAACGAGAAAUGAAAUUGUGAAUGCAUAUUUUGAUAUAUUUUUCCAAAAUUGCCAUAUCAUAUCGAUAAAACAGCACUCAAAUCCCUUUCGCGUGCGAUAAAAAAAAAUGAUGAAAAAGGAAAAUUAAAUCAUCAAUGUUGGUUAAAAUGUAGUCUUUCUUGUUAUUAGUUCAAUAGACCAACUGAAGUUCCAGCCAUGUCAAAAAGACAAUCAGCAGUCUCAGAAAGAAGUACAGAGCACGUGUUUUGUACGUUACAUAACAAAGAAACUACAUUUCUAUGCACGGAAUGUAGGCAAUUUAUUUGUGAUGAAUGCGUGGAAUCAUCACACACAAGACAUGCAUUAAAGUCAAUUUCAAGAAGAACUAACAAUACACUUUUCAUUGAAAUGCUUCAGCAACAAAUUAACUUAUAUAAGGAAGUAUGGCAGGUUGAAUUAGAGGAACAAAUACAAGCUAUAGAUCUCUGCGCAGCAAAACUUGUAGAAAUUAUCAAUAAAAUAAGUGAUUCAUACAAAGAAGAGAUCCUCCGAAAAGGUACACAGAACAAAUCAAUUCUAAAGGAGAUCGGAGAUGAGUCUGACAACAACAAUCCACAGGCAUUAUCGUUGAUACACACAACUUUUAAACCGUUAACAAUAGAUAUACUUGGAAUAAAGCGAGAGUUUGGUAAACUGUGUGCAAACGAAACAAAUGUUAAUAUGCAGCCAGGAUUCAGCUGGCCAAGUUUAUUUCAAGUAAACAAUCUGUCUGCAGAAGGCCAAAAAGGUUUUGUCUAUCGUGGUAUGUCAUCAGAUUCUGAAGACGAAUACGAUCAUUGUGGUUCAUAAAAUGAAUUUGUUGUUUUGGUAACAAGUGAGAUCUCAAUUUUAUUUCUUAAUUAUUUAAAUGAAUCUUGU
rnacentral:lncRNA from 1 species